CCUGAGUCCUGUCCUGUCGCCCUCCCCUCGGGACAGCAUGAACUUCACCACUCACUCCACCUUCUCCACCAACUACCGGUCCCUGGGCUCUGUCCAGGCGCCUAGCUAUGGCGCCCGGCCAGUCAGCAGUGCAGGCAGCGUCUAUGCAGGCGCCGGGGCCUCUGGUUCCCGGAUCUCUGUGUCCUGCUCCACCAGCUUCCGGGGCGGCAUGGGGUCCGGGAGCCUGGCCACGGGGAUGGCCGGGGGUCUGGCAGGAAUGGGAGGCAUCCAGCAAGAGAAGGAGACCAUGCAAAGCCUGAGCGACUGCCUGUCCUCCUACCUGGACAGAGUGAGGAGCCUGGAGACCGAGAACUGGAGGCUGGAGAGCAAAAUCUGGGAGCACUUGGAGAAGAAGGGACCCCAGGUCAGAGACUGAUGCCAUUACUUCAAGACCAUGGAGAACCUGAGGACUCAGAUCUUCGCAAAUACUGUGGAUAAUGCUCACGUAAUUCUGCAGAUUGACAAUGCCCGCCUUGCUGCUGAUGACUUUAGAGUCAAGAAUGAGACAGAGCUGGCCAUGCACCAGUCUGUGCAGAACGACAUCCACAGACUCUGCAAGGUCAUUGAUGACACUAAUGUCACUCGGCUGCAGCUGGAGACAGAGAUCGAGGUUCUCAAGGAGAUCUGCUCGUCAUGAAGAAGAACCAAGAAGAGGACCUGCUGAACCUCAAGGUCAAGCUGGAGGCCCAGAUCGCCACCUACCGCUGCCUGCUGGAAGAUGGCCAGGACUUCAACCUUGGUGAUGCCCUGGAUAGCAGUAACUCCACGCAAACCAUCCAAAAGACCACCACCCGCCAGACAGUGGGUGGCAAAAUGGUGUCUGAGACCAACGACACCAAAGUUCUGAGGCAUUAA